UCUACCCAGUUUAAUCACGUUCACAAUAUGUGAUUCGAUAACAUCUUCAACAGCAUGAGCUGCAUCUGCAAUACGCAUCUCCAGCGGAUCAGCUUCAUCUCCAUCGGCAACAGGGGACUUAUAACUUUCAAGAAAUUCCUGCAAAAAGGUAACAAUUUGAGUGAGAGAUUCAACUUGUUGUUUGUCGAUAGAAAUUGGAGGGGAAGGGUGGUGCUCGAUCUGAUUGAUGGUAUUCAUAAGAGAAACUAUGGCUGCAUAGGCUGCCAUGAUCCAAGGAAAAACAGUGUAUAUUUUUCUGAGAAAGAAUUUGAUAGAAUCUGAGUUUAGGUUCAGCAAAACAAUGUGUAAAAUGGGUAUAUCUCCUCUUCUCAAUUAUUAUCAGAAACAUUAAUGCCAAACAGCUAAGAUAAGAGAAGACUUGUCGGUUGACCCUACAGUUCACUAGUCUCCUAUCACAUUUGUGCUAAUUAUGCUAAUUAUGAAAUAUUGACUAUGCUAAUUAUGAAAGAAUGGAGCUAAAGAGUAGCAAGCUACAAUUGAAUUNUUUUUUAAGUAGGUGAUCAUUUAGUGUAGCAUGCAUUAUGCUAUGCUUGUGCAUAAUAAUAAGAUUCAAAAUAAAACCUUUUGGAAUAUGAUUUAUCUUCUCGCAGUGCACUACUUUAAAAAAAAAAAAAAAAGGCGGGCAAUGUCCAAUCCUCAUACAGCUGAGAAACAUUAAAUUACAUGUAAAUUUAAAUAAGAACACUAUGGUGUAAACGUAUUCCAACCAUUCUGAAUCAAGUUCAAUAAAAAUUAUUAAUAUGAAAUUUUACACCACCUUAACCUAAAUUACCAUUUUUGUUGUCCUGCUUACUUAUAGCAUGAAACUUAGAAAGCUACACUCACUCAAUCUCAUUUGAUUAUCUCAUAUAGAAAAUUAUGAUAUAGAGUUUCAUUCUCAACUUUUGUUUUCAAUGAAAUCCAGCUUGUUUUCUUAUUCUUGACUAGGCCCAAGCCCAUCCCAUGAACAUAUAUAGAGAAAUAAAGGCUAUUUUUGCUUUUUGGAUCUAACCGAAGAAAUAAAGGUUAUAAUUAUCCCUAUCAAAGCUAUUGAAUAUUAUUGACGGCUCAAAGACAUCAAGAUAUGUUGUAGGGUUAAACAUAUGCAAAUUACUUGCAUCUUAAAACAGUAGUACAUGAAAAACAUGUCAAGAAAAUGAUGCACUCCAAAAGGCAUAGGUUGAUAGCAUUUCAUAAAUUUGUAGAUGGAAUGGGUUUUUGGAGACUGAUCCUCAUCGGCCACUCUUUUUAGCGCGCUCUUUCCUUGCCCUUUCUUUGGUGGCCCCUUUUGGCGACGCUUCAAGAUUUCAAGCCUAUUCAAUCACCUGCCACGAUCAACCAAGUUAGAAUUGCAGUAUUUUGGAUCCAAACAAAUGAAGAUCUUAUUCUAUUUUAGAUGGAGUCUACAAACUGAUUGAGCAUUCUACAAAAACAAGAUGGACUAUUUAAGUUUCCUUAUCACAUUUUAAGACAACUAUUCCUAUUUGCCAAGUAAUCUAUCCACAAGAACACUAUCAUAGCAACUUUUUUAAUGUUUGGUAUAGUAACCAUAUAAUAUUUCUCAUAUAGUAUCAUGCAUGCCACUGGUGCUAAAUGAUAGCAGGCCCAUAGAGUUUGAAUAUGUGGUUGAGAACUUAGAUUAAACAAUUAACAACUGUGUGAAUGGUGAAAAUCCUAUCACUUUGUACAUUUACUGAACUUAGAUUUCACAACUGAUAGUAUAAUUAUUUUUCACAAUUUCUGAUUUAUUCAAAGAAAUGGGAAUCUAAAAUUAUGGGUGAUGAAAUGGAUCUUACAGAAUUCAUUUACACAAAAAACGCUUAGAUUUUUUAUAUGGACUAGCAAGGGGUAACAAUAAUCCAAAACUUGAAUGAAUAAAUUGGGCCAAAUUCAAUUAAAAUCGCAGCCCAUUUUCUUUUAAAAGUAAAUCUGCCAACUAAUUAAAUAAGGGAGCUCAAUCCCAACACACCCAGCCCAUUUUCUUUUAAAAGUAAAUCUGCCAACUAAUUAAAUAAGGGAGCUCAAUCCCAACACACCCAGCCCAAUGAAUUAAAUAGAAAACAAAAUCGGGUCCAGCCGAAUAAAAAUAAAACCGGCCCAAAUGCUAUUGUAUACGUCAGCCCAAUCAAAUAAAAACAAAAGGAAAUUGGGCCAGCUAAAUUUAAAAGGAAACGGCCCAAAUAGAAGCCCAACCCUCAAGCCCCAACUGGAAUUGUUUGCGUUUGUAGAUGCUUGUGUGGAAUGUGGAUGUAUGAUUGUUUUGUGGUAUUCGAAAUUCAAGGAUUUCAAAUUCAUGCUCCACUAAUAUAUGGUAAAUGGGAGGCAGGCAAAACUGUGGAGUUGAUUCUUAACUUAGCUGGUUACAGGAAUGUGAAAUCAAAGGUAUGAAACUGGCUCCAGAAAUAUGUUCUUUCAUUUCCAACUUUGUCAUCUGAUGGAAAUACUCUUCAAGGAAUCCCCACAACACUGUGAAGGCUUUCUUCAAGGCUUUAAAUGCGGUAAAUGGGAGGAAUUAUAUUAUCUACAUUGAUAUUAUAUUUCACCAUUGUUUAUCCUUUUCUAUUCCUCUUUCUUUUGCUCGCAGAUUGAAACUCCCAAAGAUGUUCAAGAAAAGUUUGGCCGAACUGUGGUUGAAUCAUAUCUACUGUGAUAGGUAUGAUCUUCAUCUUUUCCUUGAGUUUCUCUAUUUUUGUGGGGAGGUGGUAUGUGAGUGGUGAACAUAUUUGAAUGCACUUAAGAUGUGAUGCCUAAUGGAGUUUACAAAGAAAGAAGGAUAAGUUAACUUUCAUGUCCUACUUAAUUUAUUGGACAUGGGGUAAUUGUGCCUAUAUACAUGAACUUUUAGUGAAUUCUGGUUUUCCACAUGAACUCAAUAUUCCGCCUCCAAAUACACAACCUUUUAAUUGUUCUAAUUUUUUGCACGACUGUCAAUUUUCGGCAAUCGUGGCUAGUUAAAGUUACAAAUUAAUAUCAUCGUGGCUAGUAAGAAGGUGAAUAGAAAAGAUUUGUGAUAAAUUAAUUUAUUAGUAAAAUAAAAAGAAAGGCAUAUAUGAUCCGGCGCUUAGAAGAAGGAAGAGAGAGAUAUUGAAAAUUAAUCACUCAAAUCAGUAUUCCCACAAUCGAAUUCCUCAUCACAUCAAACUACAAGUUUAAUACUUCUUCAAUUUGACUACACGAAAGUUGGGAGUUGCCAAGCUCUGCAGUUCUUGGCUGACGUUGAAUGACUCAACUAGAACAUGAAAGGAAGGGUCCCCUUGUAAUUCCUCUUGUUCCUCUACUAUCUUUUUCAAAGACACAACCAUUGUUUCACUGCAACCCCACAAUUGAAUUGAUUUGAGUGUUGGUAUUUCUCCAAUUUCUGAAGGGAACUCCUCCAAAGACUCCACGUACCAGAGAUGAAGUUGCUCAAGGCGUGGCAAGCAGGAGCCCUCUAACGUCCAACAUUCCAUAUUCAUACACUCAUCCAACCUCAAGUAUUUGAGGCUGGGGAAUUGGCCUUCAACUAUUUCCCACUGCUGUUGCAAACUGCCCAUCAUCAGUCGGAGCUUCUCAAGAAGUGGUAAUGAACUAUCUUUUCCAGAAUUUCCUCCAAGGAACUUCCCAUCGAAGAACAGCUUCUUGAGUGAGUGCGGGAAGCUAAUACUCUGCAGAUACUCAUCAUCACUUCCAUAUAAAAGCACCAAGCUUUCCAGCUUACUCAGACAUUGAAGAUAGCUGAGGCACUUCACUCUUCCAUUACUUUAUCUGAUCUUAUAACAGUUUCUUGAUAUUGGGAAUUCUCUUAACCAUUCUUCAUUCAAGUUGAAAUCAACACUCCUUUGAGCGUCUCUAGAUUCUCCAUAUACAUCAUAUCCCUCGGAGGAUCUGGGAGAUUAUUAUAUCGAACUCGCAUGCUUAAGCUGAUGCAUUUUCCAAAUUUCUACUGGUGCAGUAGUCCAAAAAACAAUUAGUGUGUGUAGAUUCCAGAGCAGACUAAUUGAAGAAGGGAUUGGAACCCCUCAGAAUCACCGAAAGGUACCUCAAGUUCACCAUUGAAACACAUUUUCUAAAUGCUUUAUGGAAUACUUAUAUGUACUCAAUGUCCUCAAAAAUCUAAAAUCUAGCAAUUGUGAAAAGUAAUACAAUGACAUAUGAAAGAACGAGCACGUGACGACAUAGUUUCCAAGGCAUCCCGGACUGUCAUAGCUGAAGUGCUUCUGGGAAUAACAAUGCGGCGUUGGCUAUUUAUCCCUCGAGGACAAUGUUGCCCUAACACAUAAUAAAACCUCUGCUUUUCAGCUUCUUGAAAUGAUAGAUCUCUCACUAAAUCGUGCAUUUUGCAGUACCUAAUAUUCCCAAGUUUCCCCAACUCAUGAACUAGAAUGAGGUUUCUAUCGACUAGCUCCUUCAUAUACUCUUUGGCAAUUGUUUUCGAGCUUUUAUUGAUUAUUGGUCUAAGAAAGCCUUCAGAAACCCAUAGCCUCAUGAGUUCUGAGACUCCAAUUCUCUGAUCUUCCCCAAACAUCCCCAUGUACAAAAAACAAGGCUUCAGAUAGGCAGGCAAAUGGUCAUAGCUCAGUUUCAAUACUCUCAAGCAAUAUUCAUCAUUUUCCGAAUUCACUAUUGAGCUUAAGUUUUUCUCUAUGUGCUCCCAAUACUCCAAUGUAAGUUCGGACUUUGCCAAAAGACCCCCAAUCACAGCAAUCGACAAAGGAAGUCCCUUACACUUCCCCACGAUUUUCUUUCCGAUUUCCUCGAGUUGAAGAGGAAAAACCUCAUCCCCAUAUACAGUUUUGGAGAACAAACUCCAGCUACAAACAUCAUCUAAAAAUCUCAUACCAAUGCUGUUAGAGUCUGUCAACUCAGUAGCCAAGUUUGAGAGCCUAGUUGUUACGAUUAUUCGACUCCCAUUAUUGUUAUCAGGAAAGAAAACCAUCAUCUUUUCCCAAACCUCUAUACUCCACAUAUCAUCAAUUAUUAUGAGAUACCUCCUACCGCAUAAAUACUUGUACAAGUUUUCUCCCAACUCGUUAUCGUCACUCGAAUGUCCGCUCACUUGUUUAAGAACUUGACUAAGUGUUUCUCUAACAUUAUAAGUUUGAGAAAUUGUAGUCCAUGCACGAAUAUCAAAAUGUUCCUUAACAAGGGCAUGCUCAAAUAUAUGUCGGGCAAGAGUGGUCUUACCAAUCCCGCCCAUCCCUGUGAUUGGGAUGAUUUGGCGGUUACGGUUGCCUUUAGUGAGCCAAUCCAAGAGUUGAAGUUGCACGUCAUCAAAGCCCACCAUCAUGCUUUCCUUCACAGUAGAAGAAGACGUCAAUGAGCCAGCUCGAGUCGAGGAGACCUUUCUCUGCAGCUGAGCUUCAUCUGCAAUCCCCAUGGCUUCCUUCUUAAUCACAUUCAUUUCUUCUAUCACUUGUUGUAGAUCUUCAUAGAAGUUGAUGAAACUGACUUCAUUGGGACUAGAUCUACCCAGUUUAAUCACAUCCACAAUAUGUGAUUCGAUAACAUCUUCAACCGCAUGAGCUGCAUCUGCGAUACGCAUCUCCUGGGGAUCAGCUUCAUCUCCGUCAGCAACAGGGGACUUAUAACCUUCAAGAAAUUCCUGCAAAAAGGUAACAAUUUGAGUGAGAGAUUCAACUUGUUGUUUGUCUAUACAAAUUGGAGGGGAAUGGUGAUGCUCGAUUGUCUCGAUGGUAUGCAUAAGAGAAACCAAGGCUGCAUAUGCCGCCAU
rnacentral:lncRNA from 1 species